CAGUUCAGAAGUUUUGCUAGGAUCUAUUUAAACUAGGAGGGGGGGGGCAAAAGGGUGAUAAAACAUCAAUCCAAUUGUUCCCCCAAAACAAGGACAGAAGGUGCCUGUAGCAAGUGUGUUAAAAAAUGAUAAGCUUAGAGUCAUGUCUACAAAUGCUCGCAGUUUAGGGAAUAAGAUCCAUGAACUUGUGGCAAUAAUGGCAACUGAUAGUGUAGAUUUAGUCGCUGUUACUGAGACAUGGUAUAAUGAGAAAAAUGACUGGGACAUGGCAAUACCAGGGUACUCUUUAUAUAUGAAAGAUAGGGAAGGCAAGAAAGGGGAAGGGGUGGCCUUGUAGGUGAAGGAUAGCAUAAAAUCUAGCCUAAUAAAAG